GUGAAGGUAGUUGUGUCUGAAAUUUUUUUGUGGUAAGGUUUUUAACUACAAAUUUAGUUUCUGUAUUCAGGUUAUCUGUAUUUACAAUUUCUCUUGAAAAUAUCAGACAGCUUCACCACAGAGGGCCCAUAUUCCCAUGUGGCCAGAACUGGGUGACAUUCGGUAGAAGCUGCCUCUAGUUUGCUAUAGUCCCUACAACUCUCUAUUGGUCAACAUUCCUUAUUUAUAUUACCUUCUUGGCCACUAUAAGCUUUUGGGUCACCAACCUUUCAUUAAACUGUUUUUAAUUAGCAUUCAUUUGUUAUAGAUUGUGAGAGUUAGGAGGAAUCCCAAAGAUGAUCUCUUUCAACCUUCUAGUUUGGUAGAUGAUGAAAACCGUAGUCUGAAUUACAAAGAUCACCCAGUGAGUUGUGUUAGAAUUAGAAGUAGAAUCUAGGUUUAUUGUCAUUUGCUCCAGUGCCUUUUUAUUGUCCCACCAGACUUUCUCAAGUCUGUACCUCAUCUGCAUGCACAGAACUUGUUCCAGCUAGAUAAUUCUUUGGGUACAGCGGGUGAUGUGCAUGAGUAGAUCUGUUCUUCAUGCAUAUUAUAUUUGUGAGCAUGUUUUAUAAUCAUGCUUCUUAGUAAACGUGUCUAAGACCUUAUUGCUCUGUACAACCUCCUUGUUCUUCCCUUUCUUUCCUUCCAACUCCCCACUCAUCAUAACGUGGAGAAGGGGUUAAAUUUAACCAACUUGUCUCAUUCCUCCUUGAUGUGUCUUAAUCUAUCCCUUAUAUUCUCCACCUUCGCUUCCCUAAUCCAAAAGCUUACCCCUCAUGCCUGGAUAUACGUAAUGGUAGAGCAAUAGAACUCCCUUCCUUCACAUAUCCCGCCUCCAAAUAUUUGACACAUGGGUCAGAAUGAUCUUAACACGAGAUAUAACUUUCUGUUUCAAGCCUUCUUUUCCUGUGAUCAAGUUUCCAUAGCAUGGGCCUAAAAGAGGUUAGGAGAAGGUAUCAUAUGAGGAACAGCCCUGCUUGGGUACCAGGCUGCUACUUUCUUCAUCAACUCAUUUAUCAUUUUAGUGUAGUGCCUGGGAACAGCAUUUGGGCCUUCCUAGUUCAGGUUCAUGCCCUGACAAUACUGGCUGCAAUUCUUUUAGAGCAAACCUUAGUUAAAAAAAAAAAAUUAGGAAGCAGGGGACUCAUUCCUUAGAGUAGGCUAUGUAAACUUUGCUAAAAGUUAAUUUAAUGUCCCUAUGUACCUUCUUACAAAGCUGUAUUUGACUACCAGUGACUCCUAAUCAGGUUAUUGUGGGUAGUGAGGUGAUAUUUUUGGAUGUAUUCUGUUCCUGGGUUUCUAGCCAUGCCUUCUCCAUUUUUGAGCCUCAUCCUUAUCCAAGGUACUCUUAUUAUUUUUCUUUAGGUUGUUAACAGAGAUUUAUGUCUCUCUUCUCAAUGUAUCUUCCAAGUUCGCUUCUUCAUAAACAGGUGUUCUACUUCAACUAGAACUUAGCAACGUUGUUUUCAAUGCUCCUAUGUUUUUAAACUAUUAAUUGCUAUUUUAUAGAUUUGUGCUGCCUGAGAACUGUGGAAGCCAGGAACUCCCUAUUCUGCUUCAGAAUGUCUUCUUUAUUUCUGGGAAGAGUGUCUUUUAUGACUAAGACAAGAACCAAAUAAUGGUUAAUGUAAGGUCCCAUCCCAAGACCUGGGAUGAAUGUCUCCUUGGUGGUGACAGGAUUUUAGAGGGGUAACUCCAGAGACCACUUGGAUUUCCAUUUGGAUAUUUAUUUGGUAGACAGAUGUUCCUGGAUCACAUCUCUUGUAGUGUUGCCAGUGGUUCUCAAAUGCUGAUCUGUGAGCCAGUACCAACUGCACUACAUCAAAAAUUCUCUGAGACAGUUUAUUUAAAAGGAGACAUGCUUCCUCUGUGGUUCCUGGUUCCAAGAAAUGAAAUGUUGCAAGACUUAUCUAUCUGCACUGGAACAGUCUGAGCAUUGCUUUCCAUUCAGCGCUCCUGAAAGAAAGUACAAAGAAUAAAGAGAGAAGGAGUCUACCUAAAAUUAUAUAAACUUGAGGAUUCAUAAAACCUGGAUUUUGUAAAUCAAAAUGCAAAACACUGUUCAGGAGGACAAAACAGAAGAGGAAUUUAGGCCAUGGUGAGGACUCGAGGAGUACUUCCUGGCUCCCCUUGUGGUUGAGUGAGGCCAUCUCAUUACUCCUGGUCAUUGAGUUGUGGAGCUCAAGUGUCGCGUGUCACUACCAGGCCAGCACAAAGAAGACUACUUCUCAGCCCCAUGGUGGGAAGAGGUCCCAAAGUGACAAGCCAGUUCAUAGAGGAGCAUUGCCCUUACUACCCAAAGGACUUCGAAAAAUUCAUCAUCUGGGUGCUUCAUUAAUGCCCCUUCUUCUCCAUGGUGGCCAUCAUCAGGACCACCAAAGGAGACUCCGUCUCUGGAUGGGGCCAGAGCAUAAUGAUGUGGAGUAAGUGAGCAGAAUUGGUUCAAGGAGCCAGAAAUUGACAGAGAAAGACGAAAGCAAAUGCUGAGCUCAUGCCCAAGCAACCUUUCAAAAAAAAGGUAUAUGGUAAAAGUACAUGGAUUCCUCUGCAGCCUCAUAUCCACCAUUGCCCAGGGCUGUAAGGGAUAAGAGACCUGAAACAUUGUCUUAUCAGGCACUGAAGGCACAAGAGUGAAAAGGAUCCAGCACGUCACACUCAAAGAGCUCACCACAUAAUGGAGAGUACUGGUGAGUAAGCAGGCAUUUACAAUACAAUGGGGUAAGUGCUGCUAAAAGGGAGUGUA